GAUGAACGCGGGCGGCGCGCCUAACACAUGCAAGUCGAACGGUUAAGGCCCCCUUUAGGGGGCGCAUAGAGUGGCGAACGGGUGAGUAACACGUGACCAACCCGCCCCCCCCACCGGGACAACCUCGGGAAACCGAGGCUAAUACCGGAUACGCCGGGGCCCCCGCAUGGGGGCUCCGGGAAAGCCUUGGCGGGAGGGGACGGGGUCGCGGCCCAUCAGGUAGACGGCGGGGCGAAGGCCCGCCGUGCCGACGACGGGUAGCCGGGCUGAGAGGCCGAUCGGCCACAUUGGGACUGAGACACGGCCCAGACUCCUACGGGAGGCAGCAGUGGGGAAUAUUGCGCAAUGGGCGAAAGCCUGACGCAGCGACGCCGCGUGCGGGAAGGAGGCCUUCGGGUCGUAAACCGCUUUCAGCAGGGAAGAAGCCUGACGGUACCUGCAGAAGAAGCCCCGGCUAACUACGUGCCAGCAGCCGCGGUAAUACGGAAGGUCCAGGCGUUAUCCGGAUUUAUUGGGUUUAAAGGGAGCGUAGGCCGUGGAUUAAGCGUGUUGUGAAAUGUAGACGCUCAACGUCUGAAUUGCAGCGCGAACUGGUUCACUUGAGUAUGCACAACGUAGGCGGAAUUCGUCGUGUAGCGGUGAAAUGCUUAGAUAUGACGAAGAACUCCGAUUGCGAAGGCAGCUUACGGGAGCACAACUGACGCUGAAGCUCGAAGGUGCGGGUAUCAAACAGG
rnacentral:rRNA from 1 species